GAUGAACGCUGGCGGCGUGCCUAAUACAUGCAAGUCGAGCGAACGGACGAGAAGCUUGCUUCUCUGAUGUUAGCGGCGGACGGGUGAGUAACACGUGGAUAACCUACCUAUAAGACUGGGAUAACUUCGGGAAACCGUAGCUAAUACCGGAUAAUAUUUUGAACCGCAUGGUUCAAAAGUGAAAGACGGUCUUGCUGUCACUUAUAGAUGGAUCCGCGCUGCAUUAGCUAGUUGGUAAGGUAACGGCUUACCAAGGCAACAAUGCAUAGCCGACCUGAGAGGGGGAUCGGCCACACUGGAGCUGAGACACGGUCCAGACUCCUACGGGAGGCAGCAGUAGGGAAUCUUCCGCAAUGGGCGAAAGCCUGACGGAGCAACGCCGCGUGAGUGAUGAAGGUCUUCGGAUCGUAAAACUCUGUUAUUAGGGAAGAACAUAUGUGUAAGUAACUGUGCACAUCGUGACGGUACCUAAUCAGAAAGCCACGGCUAACUACGUG
rnacentral:rRNA from 1 species